rnacentral:rRNA from 1 species
CUGGCCUACGGGACGCAGCAGUGAGGAAUAUUGGUCAAUGGUAGGGAGACUGAACCAGCCAAGCCGCGUGAGGGAUGAAGGUACAGAGUAUCGUAAACCUCUUUUGUCAGGGAACAAAGGCGGGGACGCGUCCCCGGAUGAGUGUACCUGAAGAAAAAGCAUCGGCUAACUCCGUGCCAGCAGCCGCGGUAAUACGGAGGAUGCGAGCGUUAUCCGGAUUUAUUGGGUUUAAAGGGUGCGCAGGCGGUCUGUUAAGUCAGCGGUCAACGCCCGGGGCUCCACCCCGGCCCGCCGGUG